rnacentral:rRNA from 1 species
UACGGGGGAGCAAGCGUUGUUCGGAUUUACUGGGCGUAAAGGGCGCGUAGGCGGCCACCGCAAGUCGACUGUGAAAUCUCCGGGACUUAACCCGGAAAGGUCAGCCGAUACUGCGGGCUAGAGUGCAGAAGGGGCAACUGGAAUUCUCGGUGUAGCGGUGAAAUGCGUAGAUAUCGAGAGGAACACCGGUGGCGAAGGCGGCCCACUGGAUCGGUACUGACGCUGAGGUGCGAAAGCGUGGGGAGCAAACAGG